GAAGAUCAGGUGAUGAAGGAUAUGAAGCAGGUUGUACCGGACGCAAUAAUAUUUAAUUUUUCUAAAUUUUGUUGCUAAUAGUAUAUUUACUGUACAUACUCUACUUAUGACAAUUGCAUUUUUUAUACUUAACACUUAUACUUAAAACGAAAAUAUAUUCUUUGGCCAACAAUACAUAUUAUUAUAACGACGAUUCCCAGUUGUCAUUAGUGCCUCUCUUUCACUAAUUUAAUGAAGGAAAUUCCGGAAAAAAUAACAAAGAUGAAAAUAAUUUUAUUUCCAAC